rnacentral:rRNA from 1 species
AAUCAACGCUGGCGGCGUGCCUCAGACAUGCAAGUCGAACGAUUAAAGCUCCCUUCGGGGAGUGCAUAAAGUGGCGCACGGGUGAGUAACACGUAAGUAGUCUACCCUCGAGUGGGGAAUAACGUCCGGAAACGGACGCUAAUACCGCAUAUGCAGCGGCACCGCAAGGUGACAGUUGUUAAAGAUUUAUCGCUUGAGGAGGAGCUUGCGGCAGAUUAGCUAGUUGGUAAGGUAAUGGCUUACCAAGGCCGCGAUCUGUAACCGGUCUAAGAGGACGGUCGGUCACACUGACACUGAAUAACGGGUCAGACUCCUACGGGAGGCAGCAGUCGGGAAUUUUGGGCAAUGGGCGAAAGCCUGACCCAGCAACGCCGCGUGAAGGAUGAAGUAUUUCGGUAUGUAAACUUCGAAAGAAUGGGAAGAAUAAAUGACGGUACCAUUUAUAAGCUCCGGCUAACUACGUGCCAGCAGCCGCCGUAAGAC